UCGAGGAUCUUCGGCAAUGGGCGCAAGCCUGACCGAGCGACGCCGCGUGUGCGAUGAAGGCCUUCGGGUUGUAAAGCACUGUCGAGGGGGAGAAAGGCCCGCAAGGGCUUGAUCGACCCCUGGAGGAAGCACGGGCUAAGUUCGUGCCAGCAGCCGCGGUAAGACGAACCGUGCGAACGUUGUUCGGAAUCACUGGGCUUAAAGGGCGCGUAGGCGGGCCACCAAGUCAGGGGUGAAAUCUUUCGGCUCAACCGGAAAAGUGCCUUUGAUACUGGUGGCCUCGAGGGAGGUAGGGGUCUGCGGAACUUCCGGUGGAGCGGUGAAAUGCGUAGAUAUCGGAAGGAACGCCGGUGGCGAAAGCGGCGGACUGGACCUCUUCUGACGCUGAGGCGCGAAAGCCAGGGGAGCAAACGGGAUUAGAUACCCCGGUAGUCC
rnacentral:rRNA from 1 species